rnacentral:lncRNA from 1 species
AGGAGUCCCCAGUCAGGAACACCAGAACCAGCACCUGCCCAUCCCUCCUGCCCAAAAAGGAAGUUAAAACUAAUCUCUUGUUCAAGGCAUUUAUUCUAGGUGGGUUCAUUAUGUGCUGCAGCACUUAGUUCAAGAAGGCAGGAAAACACUGACUUUCAAAAGCACCUCUGCAGGACUCAACCCCUUGCUGCUAAGUGGCCGAAGACUUUGGGAUCGAUGUCUCCUCUGGCUCUAGGUGUUCAAUGCAACCCAGCACCACUGGAGAUCCAGGGGAUGGUCUGGCAGGACAUCCCUGCAGCAGGCCAUGUGAUUUUUAGUCACUUUCCCCAAGUACUGGGGGCUCCUGACACACAGCGCCUGCACACUGACCCUGCUCAUGAAAGCAAUUUCCUCCUUUGCUGCAGUCUCAGCAGCUUAUUCUGACAGCUCAGUUUGUGCCCUGAUAAUCUGCAGCCCCGAGCACUUCAUGUGCUAACUUAACAAUUGCACUGUUCAGGGACCACAGCCGCAUCCAGGCUGGUGAGUGAGCCCUGAGGAGAGUGCGGAGCCGCCCAGCGCACACUGGAAGGAGAGGCUUCCAGUCCUCUGCUCGCAGGCUGACAGCACCUCCCCUGAGGCUGGCAGAGCUGGAGUGCUGGGUGUUUACCAAAGACAGCUAUUUGGGGAACAGGGGAGGGAAAAGCAGCAUUCUUCAGCUCCCUGCCAGCCCCUCAGCUGCCACUCCUAUGGACCCAUCCGGACCGUCCUCUCCUCAAAGACACAAGUUCAUUUUGCUUUUUCACACGGAAGAGAAUCUAAGGGUGGCUCCAGCUAGGAACCUGCCCCAUGAGCCUGGCCCCACACCACAAGGACCCUUUGCCCAUCUGCUCCAGCCCUCCUGUUCCACACAGGGGAAGGGUCCCCUGAGGAAACACGUCUCCUGUCUCAGAACAGCCAAGACCAACCACACUGGAGGUAAGGGCCCGACUGGGAAAGGGUUCUGGCAGGAGGGUGGACAGGCUAUGUCCAGGGUCCUGGAGUCUGGCUCCUGGCACAG